GUGCAUGCUGUAUGUUGUAAAAUGGCAACGUUUCGCCUUUUAUCAUGUUUAUUAAAAUGUAUGCUCCAUAUGUAUGUUCUCUCUCUAUAUAUAAAUGAAUACUUUUCGGAAUUAAAAAAAAAUAUUUUUAACCCCGCUCAAAUUAUCCGGAUGAUAAUAGUUACACCGAGCAUGGUUUCGUAGUUAAAUUCAGACUGUAGAACAUCCGGUUUGAAUACAUGUGUUUUCUGACUUUUCGGAUAGCCAACUCUUGUUUUCUGGAACUUACGACUUAUGGCAAGAGAGAAGAAAACUGUGACGUUAAAAGAAAACCAGUGAGAUAAAAUCAUAGAAAAUGCAUGAUGAUUCAGGAUGUGGUCAUUUGUGACAUUAAAACAGGAAUUGUCAUCACCAAUAGAC